CAGCACCUCAAGUGGUCAGGAUGAUUAUUGGGCCUAAAGCAUCCGUAGCCGGCGCUGUAAGUUUUCGGUUAAAUCUGUACGCUCAACGUACAGACUGCCGGGAAUACUGCAGCGCUAGGGAGUGGGAGAGGUAGACGGUACUCGGUAGGAAGGGGUAAAAUCCUUUGAUCUAUUGAUGACCACCUGUGGCGAAGGCGGUCUACCAGAACACGUCCGACGGUGAGGGAUGAAAGCUGGGGGAGCAAACCGGAUUAGAGACCCGAGUAGUCC
rnacentral:rRNA from 1 species